UACGGAGGGUGCAAGCGUUAUCCGGAUUCACUGGGUUUAAAGGGUCCGCAGGUGGCAGUGUAAGUCUGCUGUCAAAGAAUGAGGCUUAACCUCAUCAAGGCAGUGGAAACUACACAGCUAGAGUACGGUCGGGGUAGAAGGAAUUCCUGGUGUAGCGGUGAAAUGCGUAGAGAUCAGGAAGAACACCGGUGGCGAAAGCGUUCUGCUAGACCUGUACUGACACUGAGGGACGAAAGCUAGGGGAGCGAAUGGG
rnacentral:rRNA from 1 species